GGGCUCCGACCUGCCGGACGCGGGAGCCGGCCAUGCGGCUCCAGGUCUCCCCAUUGCCCUUUAUCAGCGCGCCCCUCGCGGCCCCCUUGCCCGCCCCGGCCUCGGCCCGGCGCCGCGGGGAAGCCUCCGUUAGGGCUCCUCGGGGGUGGGGGGCGUCCUCGUGGCUCCUGGGCCCUUCGUCCUGGGUUGGGACGGCCGUUGUCCUCGUGCGCUUGAAGGGGCAGCUCCCCUUCCUCGAGGAUCUCACCCCCACCCAGCAGAAGCUGCCAGGCGCCGGUCACCGCCGGCCCGAGUCCCUGCAGUCCACGGAUCCGGCCUACAGGCAGCUUUUAGUCCCUUUUCAAUUAAAGAAAUGGUUGCAUUUUGAGGAUCAAAUUCCGACCGCGGGCGGAGGCGCCGAGUCCCGGGUCUCCAGGUUCUUGGCGCACCCGGGGCUCCCGCCUGACCGCGCGGGCGGACGUUGCCUAUUUAGGAAGUGAGUGAGAUCCGAGGUCUGAAGCGCUUUAAGAUUCCAAGGGGGGCAGUAUAAUAGCGGGGUCACCAAACACACGGAGGUCACUUCACUCGCGCAGCCACCAGCACCCACCAUCAGUGCGGUUCAGUCGCUACUGGCCUGCAGUCGGAUAAUUUAAAAGGCCCGGAGGGACGCGUCUUGCUGGAGCCGAGGCCGGCAGUGAGUUGAGCAGAGCCCUGUGAGCCCUAAUAAGGGAGCCUGCGGUUUCCUCCUCAACAUGUUUUUCAGCGUGGCCAGAGCGUUGUACAACACAGGGCCAGCUUCCAACAUUUUCAGUGUGAGGAGGCCCUUCCUGGUUUUCUGUCCUGGGAAAUGUUUGAACUACUGGGUUGAGUGGGACAAGGACAAGGCGUUGAACGCCUAACGUUUGUCUGCUAAGGUGCAGGAAUACGCAAGGCUGCCCUAGAGAACGUUUGUCUCGGGAAGGGGAGUUUUUGGAGCGGCUCUCUUAAUUGUUCAUUACUGGUACAAAUUGCCAUAUAAAGGGAUACUUUGCAAAUUUAGUAAAAUCAAUAAAGAUCUAAAUUUAGAUUUGAGUCAUCAAAGGAAAGAAUCUUUGUGGCUAUCAUAGGUACCACAGUUUUCUGUUGAAAUGUGAAGCUUGUGGUUUGUGUUUUCCUCAGUUGUGAAAGAUUGCUGCCUUUUUAAUGAAACCAAAUGCUACCCAUUUUACCAUGCUUUAACAAGGAAAACUUGAAGGUUUGCAGUCUAGGUUCUAGGCACCUUUUUUCCAGCGUUAUAGAUGGACCCAGAGCAUAGACAAUUUUCUUUCCCUGGAAUAGCUCCAGCUCUGGCGAAUAGCCACAUACAGCACAGGAAGAUGGCAGUGGUGAGGCUUUGUUUUACCAUUGCUUUAUGUAUUAGGGAUUCUUAUUGAGUCAAACUGUUUUAACUAUUCAGUUUAAACUGUGAGAGACACCAUGUCAAGGAAGCAGCGUGAGCUAGUGGCUACUUAAGGAUUGUGAAAACUGAGCAAGUUCCCAGAACUAGAAACUUCUCAGCUCCCCUGAACUCAGCCUCAGGGUAAACGAGUUUAGUGCUUCCUUUGAUUUUUUUUUUUUUUUUUUUUUUUUUUUUUGAGACUGACUCUAGCUCUGUUGCCCAGGCUAGAGUGCAGUGGCACGAUUUCAGCUCACUGCAACCUCUGCCUCCUGGGUUCAAGUGAUUAUCCUGCCUCAGCCUUCUGAAUAGCUGGGAUUACAGGCAUGGCUACCACACCAGGCUAAUUUUGUAUUUUUAGUAGAGACAGGGUUUCUCCAUGUUGGCCAGGCUGGUCUCAAACUUGUAACCUCAGGUGAUCUGCCCACCUCAGCCUCCCAAAGUGCUGGGAUUACAGGCAUGAGCCACUGCACCCAGCCUAUUCCUUUAAUCUUUAAAUCUGUGGAAGGUUGUUUUGUUUAUCCUAGGCAAAUAUUGUUGGGAUAGUGUUUCUUUUCCAAAAUGGUGCUGAUGAAUGGAAAGAUGGUGACUUGACCAUUUUUUCUCCAAGCUGGAAACUACAAAAGACUCCCAAGUGCCAGGAAAAAUUUGGAGAAUGUAGCUUUGUACAGGAAUUGUAUUCAGAGAUAGCAAUUUAUUUACUCAUCAAAGGUAGCUAGUGGAUAGCCACUAUAGAGACCACUCCAUGAAAAACAAAAUUGCAUGAUAUCCUUAACAUUGUCUUUCAUUUUUUUUAACCAGGUGUGGUGGAGUUUCAAGAUGCUGAUUAACUUAAGGUCUGGUGCUUGAAAGAAUCAGUGAAGCUUUUCAAGUAGAUGAGAUAUAUUUGGAUAUGUUACCUUUAGUAUCUACAGAAUAGAGGUGGCUUUUUUUGGUUGUUCUUUUCAUAGUGGUAGCAAGGGUGAAUUUUGAGAUGGCCCCAACCAUCUAUAAGAAUAUUACCUGACAGUUUUGUGUCUCUGCCUUAUAGUUGAGUUGAUCCUGUAGAAAACUUUUAAUGGAAUUCAAUUUCAUUAUUUAAAGUAGUUUUUCUAUGAACCAGCUGUGGUCUGUGACUUGACAGUGUUAAUACCAAAGAGCAAUACCUUAAUCACGGUUCAUACACUCAACAAAGACAUGACUUAACUCUAAAGAUUGUUAAGAUUGUUAUUUUAUAGUAUAGUUUUUUUCUUUCUGUAGUUUAUGAGAUCUGAGUCUUUUUAAAAUUUUUUUUAGGCUCCACUCUUGUUUCCCAGGCUGAAGUACAGUAGUGCGAUCUCAGCUCACAGCACCAUCUGCCUCUUGGGAUCAUUCUCCUGCCUCAGCUUCCUGAGUAGCUGGGAUUACAGGCACAUACCACCACGCCUAGCUAAUUUUGUAUUUUUACACAUUUUUGUUUUGAGUCCUGCUAGCACCCAGGCUGGAAUGCAGUGGCACAAUCUCGACUCACUGCAACAUCCACCUUCCAGGUUCAAGUGAUUAUCCUGCCUCAGCCUCCCAAGUAGCUGGGAUUACAGGCUAAUGUUUGUGGAGAUGGGGUUUUACCAUGCUGGCCAGGCUGGUCUCAAACUCCUGACCUCAGGUGAUCCGCCUACCUCGGCCUCCCAAAGUGCUGGGAUUACAGGCACGAGCCAUCACGCCCACCCAGUAUAUUCUUAAAGUAUCUCACUUUUUAAAAAAAUUGGUUUGUGUAUUUUAUGUGCUUAUACAUUUUUCCAUAGUACUGUAGAUCAUUUUAGUGAUUAAAUUUGACACUUGACAGAAAAACAAGUCAGUGAGUUCCAUAGGAUCAAAAAGGGGUUGAUUGCAAAUGGACAGGAGGGAAUCAUUAGAGUGAUUAUACAGUUGUUCUGCAUCUUGAUUAUGGUAUGACUGUAUUUGUCAAAUCUUAACAGGAUGAAUUUUACUGAAUGUAAAAUCAUACUUCAAUAAACAUUACUUUAUAAAAACUUAACCCUCCUUGGCAUUUCAGUGGCAUUUCUGGUGAAGUCUAUGUAUGGCAAGGUGGUUUGGGGGUCAUUAUUUACAUUAACUGCCAAGUUGAAAUAGCAAAAAUGCAUCAAAGUCACUCUUGGGAAAUAAGUCACAGAGGUGACUCAUGCACACAAUAAAUACUUGAGAAGCAGGGCCAAUGGCAGUUAUAUAUCGGCACGCUCAUCAGUACUGUGAAAAUUCCUCUUCUGGACGGCAACAACACUGCUGUAUCCACUUCACAGCAGCAUUUUUCUUUAUGUUCUUCCCAUGUAUGAAACCAACCUAAAAAUAAAACUGUCUCAUGUAGUGGGGCAGAGCCAAGAAAGCCAAAGGGUGCUGGAUUUGCAGUCCUGAAAAUCUAGUGGUCUCUGGAUCACAGCAGCAAUUUAAGUCUCAUCUGUGAUGUGUCCAUUGCAGUGGCUAUGAGGUGGCACAAAGUAGGAUAUGGAAAAUCUGUCACGUGCGGUUACUCUGAAUACUAUGGCUUUCCUGCAGUAUUGCUUUCCACAUUGGCUGUUUCCCAUUCCAAGAAAGCUUAGGAUGUUCUUGACCAAUACUGGCUAACCAAGAAAUUAGAAAAAUGAAAGGACGCGGAGUAAUUUGUUUGGGGUUGAAACGGGUUUAUGCUGCAUAAACCACAUGGUUGACUCUGAAAGACUGGCUGAAAAGAGCCAGUCUGCGUUCCUUGUCCUUACUGCCUUAGAGUAAUCAAGGAUGCUUCUUAAAAAUGAUAGAUUCAAGUAUGGGUUGUGAGUCAUUGUUCUUUUCUGUAUGUAAUAGGUCUAACUGCAGGGCCUGUUGAGCCCUGCCCUGACCAAGUAUUUGCUGACAUAACAGUUGUCAUCUUGCCUGUAUGAGCAAAGUACUUCAGAUGUCCCUUAUGAUUCUAAGUUUGAUACCUUCCCUGCCACUCCCUCACUACCAAAUCUCCUUAACUUAUACCCUAGGAAUGCAGAGUUGUCCAAUAUAGAACCCUGGUUAAGCAUAGCAUCACCCAGGAAAAUGGAAUGAGUGGUUACAGUCAGUGCCACAGUUCUGCAGAAUCAACUUGCCUUCCUUAGUACAGUGCCCAGUCCAUAAAAGCAGAAAUGGACUAUUAAGCCACCAUUUUGUACUCCAGCGCCAUGAAGAGAAGUAAACCUGGAGUUGAAUGAAAUGUUUUCGUUUAAAGAGGACUUAAACUAAUUUCAAGUGUGAAACUUGGGCAUGUGAAUUUUUAAUUAUGACUAUAAAAGAAAUUGUCAUUAGAAUUAAUUUUUAUGCUAAUGGUUAUGAUUUCAUUGAAAGUAGAAAAUCUUAUUUAAGAACUCUGGUCACCAAACCUUCCCAGGUAGUGACGUAAAACCCAGUGUAACAAUUGUGGUAUUGACAUGACAUGUCAGUUCAUGUAGAUUGAGUCACAGUUUGAUUUCAAGAAUGGCCAUAUCCCAUUUUAUCUUACUCUGCAGUGUUUCUAAGCACUUGAAUACAAAUAGACUGUUUCCUUAAAGUAGCCAAAUCUUUGCAGUUCAAGUGAAUAUUUCAGACUAAAAUAUGUGUCUUUUGAAGGUCCUUAAGCCUUAGACAUUUAAUUAUAUAAUUUGGCAAAUGUUUACUGUUUUGUUGUGUUAAGUCCUGUGAGAGAGACAAGUCCUACCUUUCUGCAGCUUUCACAGUGUGACUCAUUUCAGUAUGUAAGUCAGAGCCAGUUUUAAUAGCAUGUGCUUUGGUUGA